GAGGAAGGGAGCGGAAGACCGAGAGUGGAACAGGGGGCCCCGAUGGAGGGGGGUUCCCAGCUGGCAACCAUCAGUGCCAACAACAAGGACAGCUGUCACUGCAACACGUGAGGCAUUCCCCGCACAACCAGUGGGGCUCUCCAAGCCCACAUUUCUGCACAGAAGGAGAAACGCACCUGGAUAUCAGCAGGCCUGUGGAUAAGCACUGCCAGAAGGUGGUUGAAAGAAUGAAGAAGUGAGGAGUGUUUAUGUGGUUGAACAAGACAACCGUCGUUGGAAAACUCCAAAACAUAAUCUAAUGCAUAGAAGCAAAACAGCAGAAGAGGCUUCGCUUUGUCAUAUGUUGAUGUGCUUAACAUAAAGUUAGGGCAUUAUUAUCUGAGCAUACAAAACUGUGUGCAAUGAAAAUAGGUUUUAUUUUAAUUAGUUACAUAAAUAUUUUACAUAAUAAUUUUGUCUUUUUUUUAAAAGAAUGUUUUCUAGUUUUCCGGGAUGCACAAGGAUCAGGAUCUGGAAACUCAAUCAACAUUAUUUUUCUUAUUUAACACCCAUACCUUUCCUGCUGUGGCAUAUCAAAAUGUUUUCAGUGAAACCUUAAUCAGACGCUUAACGUGCAGGAUCUUGAUUCUAAUCCUAAUUUUAACACAAAAGAUCAAUGAUUAAAACCUGACGUGCAACAUGAAAAAUAUCGAUACAU